rnacentral:rRNA from 1 species
UGGUGGAGCGAUUUGUCUGGUCAAUUCCGAUAACGAACGAGACUCUAGCCUACUAAAUAGUUCGGGGACCCCCACAAAGGGGCCCCGCUUCAACUUCUUAGAGGGACAAGUGGCGUUUAGCCACACGAGAUUGAGCAAUAACA